rnacentral:rRNA from 1 species
UACGAAGGGUGCAAGCGUUACUCGGAAUUACUGGGCGUAAAGGGUGCGUAGGUGGUUUGUUAAGUCUGCUGUGAAAUCCCCGGGCUCAACCUGGGAAUGGCAGUGGAUACUGGCAAGCUAGAGUGCGGUAGGGGCGGAGGGAAUUCUCGGUGGAGCGGUGAAAUGCAUAGAUAUCGGGAAGAACACCAACGGCGAAAGCACUCCGCUGGGCCGAAAACUGACACUGACAGACGAGAGCUAGGGGAGCGAAUGGG